CAAGUAAUCGAUAACAAUUCUCUGGUUUUCCAUUUAGUUAGGUUAGAAAAUUCUCAGAGACAAAGUAUGGAAACAGAAUAAUAGUUAUAGGGUUACAGAGUGUAUUCAGUUGCGCUGGUAAUGACAAACAAAAACUGAUAAAAUAAAUUCUGUAUUGUUCGUUCAUGGUUCCUGCAGACACGAAGUUAAUAAAACAACCCCUCUCCGGUGUGAGGAUUGAGCCUGCAUUCAAGUGCUUGCACUGAACCAGAUAAAAUCAUUCGCCAUUGGGAUUGGAAGUGGUGUCGAAAUUUAUCAAUAACGAAAAAGAGUUAAGAGGUUAAACGUUGAUUUAUGGUGAAGCUGAACAUCACAGUCGAGUGAUGUUUUUAAUAAUUGAAUAAUCAAUAAAUAUUCAUUGAAAGAUUCGCUCUGCAAGUAAAUGGCGCCCCAAAUAUCAUGGUCGCAUGAUUUAUCGCUGUUUUUCGGUGGAAAUGGAGUUUUUAUGCUCAAACAAAAUGGAUGGCCUGCCUACUUACAUUUAAUCUGGAUAAUUAUCUCCUCAAUGGGAAAACUGGAGGGAUGCGCGUUGCAACAAAUAACUGAACGAUCGAGACUAGAUAUUCCGCGGUCUUUUUCCGAUAAAAUAAUGGUUCUACUACAAACACUUUAGCAGACAUAUGCAUUAACACUGAAUUCCAUUUAUUCCACACGGUGUUGAUGCGCCUGUGUAAACGACAUCUAUCGCGACGCUGGACGAUACCGUAUCCCCCAUCUGUGGGUCAUGGCUCACGUUCGAUCCAGCAGAGGGUAAAGCGCCGAGCCAAAUGUCAAAUAUUUUGAGGCAAAAUAAUCUAUCAGUCAGAAACUCACUCGCUCUCGCCAUUGUAGUACUCCCCAAUCAUCGGGUUGUAAUGAAACACCAUCAGAGAAGAAAAUAUGGAAAGAAUCAUGACGAAGAG